rnacentral:rRNA from 1 species
AGAGCGAACGCUGGCGGCAGGCCUAACACAUGCAAGUCGAGCGCCGUAGCAAUACGGAGCGGCAGACGGGAGAGUAACACGUGGGAACGUACCCUUUGGUUCGGAACAACCCAGGGAAACUUGGGCUAAUACCGAAUAAGCCCUUACGGGGAAAGAUUUAUCGCCGAAGGAUCGGCCCGCGUCUGAUUAGCUAGUUGGUGGGGUAACGCCCACCAAGGCGACGAUCAGUAGCUGGUCUGAGAGGAUGAUCAGCCUCAUUGGGACUGAGACACGGCCCAAACUCCUACGGGAGGCAGCAGUGGGGAAUAUUGGACAAUGGGCGCAAGCCUGAUCCAGCCAUGCCGCGUGGGUGAUGAAGGCCCUAGGGUUGUAAAGCCCUUUCGGCGGGGAAGAUAAUGACGGUACCCGCAGAAGAAGCCCCGGCUAACUUCGCGCCAGCAGCCGC